rnacentral:lncRNA from 1 species
ACUAUAAUCCUGCUUGAAGUUUGCUUAGAUUCCUGGGAAGUCUCCCUAUUCCAACCCUUUUUGAGAAAGCCCACAGCUCAUAACCUACCUGAGGUUAUUUGGGUCUCAGGAAACACACAGCACGUGCCAAUGUUCCAAGAAUGAAGCUCUGGUUCCCAGCUUCUGCUGCUCCAACUUCUAUAGCAGCAAGGAGAAAAGAGUAACAGACAUACUGAUCACAUCUAAUUAGAAGGAUUUUCCUUAGCAACCUGUGUUGUGAGUGUUCUUGAGCUGUAUCUACAUAAGUCGUGGCCUUUCUCAUCAUCUGGCACUGUGGACUCAGGGAUACAGCAGACACAGCUAUCUUUUCUGGACUCAAGGAAAACCUGAAAAGCAGUAAAACAGAAAAGUAAUAUUAUGCGUGGAGACUUAAGAUUCCACCCAAGAAGGACUUUAUGAGAUACUGACCUGAUCAAUGUAGAUAGGAUGAUAGUAAGGUAACAUUCAUUUUAGGAC